GAUGAACGCUAGCUACAGGCUUAACACAUGCAAGUCGAGGGGCAGCACAGUGUAGCAAUACACGGGUGGCGACCGGCGCACGGGUGCGUAACGCGUAUCCAACCUUCCCGUUACUCUGGGAUAGCCUUCCGAAAGGGAGAUUAAUACCGGAUGGUGUUCAAGUGGUGCAUAUUAUUUGAACUAAAGAUUUAUCGGUAGCGGAUGGGGAUGCGUACCAUUAGAUAGUAGGCGGGGUAACGGCCCACCUAGUCCACGAUGGUUAGGGGUUCUGAGAGGAAGGUCCCCCACACUGGAACUGAGACACGGUCCAGACUCCUACGGGAGGCAGCAGUGAGGAAUAUUGGUCAAUGGCCGGGAGGCUGAACCAGCCAAGUAGCGUGAAGGAUGAAGGUUCUAUGGAUUGUAAACUUCUUUUAUACGGGAAUAACACCAUCUACGUGUAGAUGUCUGCAUGUACCGUAUGAAUAAGCAUCGGCUAACUCCGUG
rnacentral:rRNA from 1 species